UACACGACCGUACCGCAAACCGACACUGGUGCGCGAGAUGAGUAUUCUAAGGCGCUUGAGAGAACUCAGGAGAAGGAACUCGGCAAAUUGACACCGUAACUUCGGAAGAAGGUGUGCCUUUAGUAGGUGAACCUGUACAAGGGGAGCCCAAUGAGGUUGCAAAAAAUCGGUGGCUGCGACUGUUUAAUAAAAACACAGCACUCUGCAAACACGAAAGUGGACGUAUAGGGUGUGACGCCUGCCCGGUGCUGGAAGAUUAAAUGAUGGGGUGCAAGCUCUUGAUUGAAGUCCCAGUAAACGGCGGCCGUAACGAUAACGGUCCUAAGGUAGCGAAAUUCCUUGUCGGGUAAGUUCCGACCUGCACGAAUGGCGUAACGAUGGCCUCACUGUCUCCUCCUGAGACUCAGCGAAGUUGAAAUGUUUGUGAUGAUGCAAUCUCCCCGCGGAAAGACGGAAAGACCCCAUGAACCUUUACUGUAGCUUUGUAUUGGACUUUGAACAGAUCUGUGUAGGAUAGGUGGGAGGCUUUGAAGUGUGGUCGCUAGAUCGCAUGGACCCAACGUUGAAAUACCACCCUGGUGUGUUUGAGGUUCUAACCUAGGCCCGUAAUCCGGGUCGGGGACAGUGCAUGGUAGGCAGUUUGACUGGGGCGGUCUCCUCCCAAAGCGUAACGGAGGAGUUCGAAGGUACGCUAGGUACGGUCGGACAUCGUGCUAAUAGUGCAAUGGCAUAAGCGUGCUUAACUGCGAGACUGACAAGUCGAGCAGAUGCGAAAGCAGGACAUAGUGAUCCGGUGGUUCUGUAUGGAAGGGCCAUCGCUCAACGGAUAAAAGGUACUCUGGGGAUAACAGGCUGAUACCGCCCAAGAGUUCAUAUCGACGGCGGUGUUUGGCACCUCGAUGUCGGCUCAUCUCAUCCUGGGGCUGUAGCCGGUCCCAAGGGUAUGGCUGUUCGCCAUUUAAAGAGGUACGUGAGCUGGGUUUAAAACGUCGUGAGACAGUUUGGUCCCUAUCUUCCGUGGGCGCUGCAGAUUUGAGGAAGCCUGCUCCUAGUACGAGAGGACCGGAGUGGACACACCUCUGGUGUAUCGGUUGUCACGCCAGUGGCAUUGCCGAGUAGCUAUGUGUGGAAGAGAUAACCGCUGAAAGCAUCUAAGCGGGAAACUCGUUUCAAGAUGAGAUCUGCCGGGGCCUUGAGCCCCCUAAAGAGUCGUUCAAGACCAGGACGUUGAUAGGUCGGGUGUGGAAGCGCAGUAAUGCGUUAAGCUAACCGAUACUAAUUGCUCGUGCGGCUUGACCUA
rnacentral:rRNA from 1 species